CAGAGGUACAAACCUCUGAAGUCUGUGAUACAGCUGAAGCAGUUGCAUCACUAUGGCGCAAAUCCCAAUAAGAGCAAACUAACCAGAUGUUGCUGAGAACAGAUGUUGACAGGAACAAAUGGAUCCAUGCGGUGUUUUGUGUUUUCUACCAUGGAUGGGGAUGUGCUGGCUGCUGCUUCCCGCAGCCCGCAUUGGCCUGCAACAAAGAACCACUGCCAGUGGGAGCUGC